rnacentral:rRNA from 1 species
UGAAUACGAGACGCUACGGCGUCGAAGCAGUCUAUGUCAUACUUCCAAGAAAAGCUUGCACUGUCAUAAACAAAUAAUGCCUGUACCAUAACCGACACAGGUGGGUAGGUAGAGUAUACUAAGGGGCGCGAGAUAACUCUCUCUAAGGAACUCGGCAAAAUGACUCCGUAACUUCGGGAGAAGGAGUGCCUUAUUUAUAAGGUUGCAAUAACAAGAUCCAAGCAACUGUUUAUCAAAAACACAGGUCUCCGCUAAGUCGUAAGACGAUGUAUGGGGGCUGACGCCUGCCCAGUGCCAGAAGGUUAAAGAAGUUGGUUAGCAUUAGCGAAGCUGAUAACUGAAGCCCUGGUGAACGGCGGCCGUAACAAUAACGGUCCUAAGGUAGCGAAAUUCCUUGUCGGGUAAGUUCCGACCCGCACGAAAGGCGUAAUGAUUUGGAUACUGUCUCGGAGAGGGGCUCGGUGAAAUAGACUUGUCUGUGAAGAUGCGGACUACCUGCACCUGGACAGAAAGACCCUAUGAAGCUUUACUGUAACCUGAAAUUGAAAUUGGACUUCAUUUGCGCAGUAUAGGUGGGAGGCGUUGAGAAUAUUCUUGCGGGAAUAUUGGAGCCAUCAGUGAGAUACCACUCUUGUAAUGUUAGAUUUCUAACUUUGAAUCAUUAUCUGGUCAAAGAACAGUUUCAGGCGGGCAGUUUGACUGGGGCGGUCGCCUCCUAAAUGGUAACGGAGGCGCACAAAGGUUUCCUCUGAACGGGUAGAAAUCGUAUCUAGAGUGUAAAGGCAUAAGGAAGCUUGACUGUGAGACCUACAAGUCGAGCAGGGACGAAAGUCGGUCUUAGUGAUCUGACGGUGCUGAGUGGAAAGGCCGUCACUCAACGGAUAAAAGUUACUCUAGGAUAACAGGCUGAUCUCCCCCAAGAGUUCACAUCGACGGGGAGGUUUGGCACCUCGAUGUCGGCUCAUCGCAUCCUGGGGCGGUAGUACGUCCCAAGGGUUGGGCUGUUCGCCCAUGAAAGCGGUACGCGAGCUGGGUUCAGAACGUCGUGAGACAGUUCGGUCCAUAUCCGGUGUAGGCGUUAGAAUAUUGAGAGGAGCCUUCUUUAGUACGAGAGGACCGAGAAGGACAUACCUCUGGUGUACCAGUUAUCGUGCCAACGGUAAACGCUGGGUAGCUAUGUAUGGAGAGGAUAACCGCUGAAAGCAUCUAAGUGGGAAGCCCACCUCAAGAUAAGUAUUC